UAGUCCACGCCGUAAACGAUGAUCACUCGAUAUUGGCUUCGGUCAGUGUCCAAGCGAAAGUGAUAAGUGAUCCACCUGGGGAGUACGCCCGCAAGGGUGAAACUCAAAGGAAUUGACGGGGGCCCGCACAAGCGGUGGAGCAUGUGGUUUAAUUCGAUGAUACGCGAGGAACCUUACCAAGGCUUAAAUGCGGAACGAUCGAGGUGGAAACACCUCUUCCUUCGGGCGGUCCGCAAGGUGCUGCAUGGUUGUCGUCAGCUCGUGCUGUGAAGUGUCGGGUUAAGUCCCAUAACGAGCGCAACCCCUAUCUUUAGUUGCCAGCGAUUCGGUCGGGGACUCUAAAGAAACUGCCGGCGUAAGCCGCGAGGAAGGUGGGGAUGACGUCAAGUCCUCAUGGCCCUUACAAGCUGGGGCUACACACGUGCUACAAUGGGCGAUGACAGUGAGCAGCUAACCCGCGAGGGCAA
rnacentral:rRNA from 1 species